rnacentral:rRNA from 1 species
CCUACGGGGGGCUGCAGUGGGGAAUAUUGGACAAUGGGGGGAACCCUGAUCCAGCCAUGCCGCGUGUGUGAAGAAGGCCCUCGGGUUGUAAAGCACUUUCAGUGAGGAAGAACGCCUGGUGGUUAAUACCCAUCAGGAAAGACAUCACUCACAGAAGAAGCACCGGCUAACUCCGUGCCAGCAGCCGCGGUAAUACGGAGGGUGCGAGCGUUAAUCGGAAUUACUGGGCGUAAAGCGCGCGUAGGUGGCUUGAUAAGCCGGUUGUGAAAGCCCCGGGCUCAACCUGGGAACGGCAUCCGGAACUGUCAAGCUAGAGUGGAGGAGAGGAAGGUAGAAAUCCCGGUGUAGCGGUGGAAUGCGUAGAGAUCGGGAGGAAUACCAGUGGCGAAGGCGACCUUCUGGACUGACACUGACACUGAGGUGCGAAAGCGUGGGUAGCAAACAGGAUUAGAUACCCCGGUAGUC